rnacentral:rRNA from 1 species
GUUAGCGGCGGACGGGUGAGUAACACGUGGGCAACCUGCCUGUAAGACUGGGAUAACACCGGGAAACCGGUGCUAAUACCGGAUAAUCCUUUUCCUCUCAUGAGGAAAAGCUGAAAGACGGUUUCGGCUGACACUUACAGAUGGGCCCGCGGCGCAUUAGCUAGUUGGUGAGGUAACGGCUCACCAAGGCGACGAUGCGUAGCCGACCUGAGAGGGUGAUCGGCCACACUGGGACUGAGACACGGCCCAGACUCCUACGGGAGGCAGCAGUAGGGAAUCUUCCGCAAUGGACGAAAGUCUGACGGAGCAACGCCGCGUGAGCGAUGAAGGCCUUCGGGUCGUAAAGCUCUGUUGUUAGGGAAGAACAAGUAUCGGAGUAACUGCCGGUACCUUGACGGUACCUAACCAGAAAGCCACGGCUAACUACGUGCCAGCAGCCGCGGUAAUACGUAGGUGGCAAGCGUUGUCCGGAAUUAUUGGGCGUAAAGCGCGCGCAGGCGGUCCUUUAAGUCUGAUGUGAAAGCCCACGGCUCAACCGUGGAGGGUCAUUGGAAACUGGGGGACUUGAGUGCAGAAGAGGAAAGCGGAAUUCCACGUGUAGCGGUGAAAUGCGUAGAGAUGUGGAGGAACACCAGUGGCGAARGCGGCUUUCUGGUCUGUAACUGACGCUGAGGCGCGAAAGCGUGGGGAGCAAACAGGAWUUAGAUACCCUGGUAGUCCACGCCGUAAACGAUGAGUGCUAAGUGUUAGAGGGUUUCCGCCCUUUAGUGCUGCAGCUAACGCAUUAAGCACUCCGCCUGGGGAGUACGGCCGCAAGGCUGAAACUCAAAGGAAUUGACGGGGCCCGCACAAGCGGUGGAGCAUGUGGUUAAUUCGAAGCAACGCGAAGAAACCUUACCAGGUCUUGACAUCCUCUGACACUCCUAGAGAUAGAACGGUCCCCUUCCGGGGACAGAGUGACAGUGAGCAUGAUGUCGUCAGCUCG